rnacentral:rRNA from 1 species
CAAUAAGCGGAGGAAAAGAAACCAACAGGGAUUGCCUCAGUAACGGCGAGUGAAGCGGCAACAGCUCAAAUUUGAAAUCUGGCUCUUUCAGGGUCCGAGUUGUAAUUUGUAGAAGAUGCUUCGGGUGUGGCUCCGGUCUAAGUUCCUUGGAACAGGACGUCAUAGAGGGUGAGAAUCCCGUAUGUGACUGGUUGCCUUCGCCCAUGUAAAGCUCUUUCGACGAGUCGAGUUGUUUGGGAAUGCAGCUCAAAAUGGGUGGUAAAUUUCAUCUAAAGCUAAAUAUUGGCCAGAGACCGAUAGCGCACAAGUAGAGUGAUCGAAAGAUGAAAAGCACUUUGGAAAGAGAGUUAAACAGUACGUGAAAUUGUUGAAAGGGAAGCGCUUGCAACCAGACUUGCACGCUGUCGAUCAUCUGGGGUUUUCUCCAGUGCACUCGGUUGCGUUCAGGCCAGCAUCGGUUUGGGUGGUUGGAUAAAGGCUGUGGGAAUGUAGCUUCUCUCGGGGAGUGUUAUAGCCCACGGUGCAAUGCAGCCUACUCGCGCCGAGG